UACGUAGGUGACAAGCGUUGUCCGGAUUUACUGGGCGUAAAGAGCGCGCAGGCGGUCGAUCAAGUCGAGUGUGAAAGCCCCCGGCUCAACUGGGGAGGGUCAUUCGAUACUGAUCGACUCGAAGGCAGGAGAGGGUAGUGGAAUUCCCGGUGUAGUGGUGAAAUGCGAUAGAUAGUCGGAGGAACACCAGUGGCGAAGGCGACUACCUGGCCUGUUCUUGACGCUGAGGCGCGAAAGCUAGGGGAGCAAACGGG
rnacentral:rRNA from 1 species